GUUUGAUGUUUAUCAUAUCAUACACGCGUCUUUGUCUUGUGAUGAGCCUCUUCGAACUUGCUUCCAUUUCCCUUGAGUUCACCAAAUUUCCAUCCUAAGGUUCUAAUUAUUUGAUUACCACUUGCAGCCGCUUUAAUCUUCCUCUGUACAAUGAUUGGACUGCUGGUGGCUUCCGACAUUUGAGGCUAAAGCUGCGUGCAAAUGCUUUACUUACAGACAAGGACUCCAUAGGUAUCAAUUCCACCUUAUGGAUCAAGUUUCCUGUAAGCUGUGGUUAAACAUGAGGAGGAGGAGUCUAUUUAAUUUAUUAAUGGGGCUAGUGGAAGAAUGACAUUUUUAAUUGCAUCGGAUGCUUGGCAUGCUUGCUUGCGGUGCCAUCCUUCCCUUGAUGUUGAAGUUUCUCAAUAUUUUUGGCUAUUUGCAGCUCACGGGAGCUGCUUAGCCAGUUUACUUUCAAAAUUUCCAACUGUAAAUGCAAAGUUCAAUGAAACUUAAUGAUGAAAAAGGCUUUUUUUUUUUUCUUUUCUUUUCCUAUUUAUUGCUCUGUGUUGCAAUUUUUAAGGUGGUAGUUGAGAAAACCCUUUGUGAUAUUAUGAUUUUGCAGUAAUGGGUGAAUGAGCUUUGCAUCA